AUGUAUGUUUUCGUUAAGAUUAAGGAUUUUCGUUAAGUAUAACAUUUCCCUUGCUAAGCAGUAACUUUCAGAGCAGUUGCCCAGUGCUAUCUGUUUUUCUGAGAAACAUUUUUGUGAUGAUAAGCUUCAUACUUAGAAUGGUCAAAGUAUAAAAUAAUAAUCACACACUUCACAGUAGGUUAUUAAUAAUUGUUUAGCUCACUACAACUAGUAAUUUCUGAGAUAUUAAUUACUUUACCUGUGCUUAUGCUGAUUAGCUUAACAAUUCUCUCUCUCUUAGUUUGGAUAAAGAAAACCAUUUAAUUCUGUUUCAGAUGAGAAGUCUCAGAGAAGCAGUGUUUGGGUGGCAAUCAGUCAGCAAUAGUCAUUUAUUUAAAAACAAUUGUUUCCACUGUAGCUAAAAAUAUCAAAACAAAUCUUCCUGUCUACCAUCAUAUAAACAUUGUACAAAAUGUACAUUCUGGGACAAAUAGGAGUCCAGCUGGGCACCUUUUAUCUUUACAUUUUUAGGUUGUUCUCCGCCUCCGCUCCCCCCAUACCACCACAGUUAUUUAGAAGCCAGAAUUUCUUCUGAAAAACGCCCAAGCUCUAAGAACACAAACUUGUUUAAGCUGAGACCAUAUUUGGAAGUGAUCUGGGUCAAGAAAAAUAAUCAAAAGGAAAGUGCAUUCCUCGGGCAUCACGUGAGGUCAGCGUGCGCGCACACACAUCCUGCUCUUGGGAUCGGAUGUAGUGAAGGGAAGGGACCGUGCACGACGCUCAUGAAUAACUCACUGCGAUUACACUUGUGGCAAGGGCUGGUUUUAUACCAACACUGACACGCUGAGCACCUCAGUUCAUCUCCAGCCUACUUACAGGGCAGUCAGGCUAACUUAGAAAAAAGCUGCGCUAUGUUGAACAGCAGUGAGAGCGCAUGCCUGUGACAAAAAAUUAAAAAUUAAUUCUGGCAACCUCCACAGGCUCCAUUCUUACAAAUAAACAUAUUUGUUUCUUUAACCAUGGCAGUAGUUCUGAAAUAACAGCAGUUUCUCAUGAACAUAAGCAAAAACUUGUCCGUGACCCAGAACCAAAUAUUUCUUUACUUACCCACCCAAAAUACCACUCCCUGUUUAUUCAAGCACUGCAAGCGCCAGGGUAACUUAGAAAGCCAGGAACGAUUCACCUUGGGUAGGUAACAAAACACAUAAGCAGAGCUUGUUCUAACAAACAAAUACAAGUACAUCAGCCCUGCACUCUUCCAACAGCUGGGGACAGGAAUCUGCCCAGGUCAGAUUCCCUGGAAAGCACUGAAACAGGGAUGUUUAUAAAACUCUUCCCCUGUACACAUGGGAAAAACUAAGUGCACUCUUUCCAGUACUUAAUUCUCUCUUCUCUCAAGUUUUAUUCUCACCUUCACUAUUUUUUUUAUUUUUAUUUUUUUACCUUGUAUACUUGUUAAUUUGAAAAUUUAUUUCUUCUGUCUUAUAUGCAUUUAGCUCCUGUUUCCAUGUAUUCAGACACCAUUCCUGCAACUUUCUUCCCAGCAGCAGCACCCGUUAACUGAGUCUGAUCUGCAUCCUACUGCAUUUCUAGCAGAAAAUGACAAGCAAUAGUUACUAUACGUAUUUUCCUACUCCAAACAGUAAAAGGCUAACUCAAAGAAAAUGUGGAAGCAAGGAGAUACCAAUAUAUAUCUGAACAUUCUGAAACAAGAUUUUUAAAGAAAUGUCCGACUGUCCGAACUUGAAAGUGCUCUCCAUGAAAUACAUCAAAAUAUGUUACUCUUCUUGGAAAACAGUGUCAGAAGGUGAAACAAUUGCACAAAGUUGUAUGAAACAUAUCAACAUCCACUUUUUAACAGAAAGAAACCUGAUGUACUUAAAGGAAACCAUAAAUUUUUAGCUUGAGAUUUCUCUUUUAAAUUUUGAAAUGCAUUACUGUGUGCUUCUCUUUGUUCUACCCAAGGACUUACUGGAUUAACAUUGGAAAGUAUUACAUUAUGGGUGUUUUUAUACUGAAUGUAUGCUGUUAAUAUCAUCAUUACUUCCCUCUCCUGUAUUGAAAGUAAGACACAGACAUGAGAAUAACAGACAAUUGUAAAUAAAUGGAAAUGGCCAUUUAAAUUACCUGAAGAUUGGAAACCAAAGUUGUAAAUCUGUACAGCUAUGAUGCAGAUUGUAUGAUUUGUCUUCACCAGAGUUAAAGCAGUAUAUACACAGCUACUUUAAAAUGACACAUUUCUUCUCAGUGUCAGCUAAGAAAAGCUUUCUACAAAAGUCCUUUUGAAAGUCAUCAUCUCCAAAGUCGUGCAGCUGCCAGAACAAGAUGGUUCAAUUACUGCUGUUUAUGCUGCAAAUAAGUAGAGUCAGGAAAGCUAAACGAUUAGAGUAAGGAGUCCAUCACAAAUACUAAUGAUUAUGUGGAUGAGACCUCCAAAAAAAAAAAAAUUCUUUCCUGUCCCAGUAAUGUGGUAGCUUACUUACUGCAACGAUAGUCAAAAUCCGUGGAUCCAAUUCAUAAAUACUGUUAUCAAUUUUUACUUAAAGCCUAACAGUAAUAAAGACAACAACCCCAAGGACAAUCACAUUAAAUGCAUAUAUAAGAACACUGUAAAAAAAUGUGACAGUCAUAUAUUCAUUACAAAAGAGGCUUCUCUUUUUUUCUUCCUCUGAGUAUUUCUUUUUAAAUGAAACAGUCUUUCAUUCCUAUGACAGAGAAUGAGGAAAAAAAUAUAAUCCUAAAAUUCUGAUGUUUAGAAAAAAACCAUGGAAACUAUUUUCAUACUACAAAACAUUUCACUUUACAAAAAAAGAAAAAAAAAGGAAAAAAAGAAAAGAAAAAAGAACACCGAAGAGUUAUUCUGUUACCUGGAUCAUAAGGACAAAAUGGGAAACAAAAAGGAUGAGAAGAUUUUAAAACUAGACCAAGUAUUUCUGGAUAAAAUUCUCUCUGACAUUAGAAGGACAUUUGUAGAGAGAAUUCCUGUGUGUGGAACCAGCCAGAGAGAUGCUAUGGAUCAAUCAGGAGAAAAUCCUGCCUUUAUUUUUGUGUUUUAUCAUUAUUCCAGUAUAAACUGAUAUGGUGUGAAUCUUCCCCACAAUAUGAAGCAGGUACAUUCUAACAAUUUCCAACACAAAUCCCAACACUGUUUAAUUUACUUAACAGUAUAGCCUGCCAGGAAAAUUAAAAUCAUUUUAUUUUAUAUUCUUUAUGGUGUAAAGUAUAUAAACUGCACUUUUAAAUUAAGUCAUGCUUCGCCAAAACUGGUCUGCUUUGAGACUGCUAACUUUAGUGGAAAGAAUUAAGAUGUCUCAGCAAAUAUCAAUUUUCUGUUAUAAAAUGUCUGCAAGACAAAAUAAAAAAAAAAUCUUAAUUUACAAUAA